GAUGAACGCUAGCGACAGGCUUAACACAUGCAAGUCGAGGGGCAGCGAGGGCGUAGCAAUACGCCUGUCGGCGACCGGCGCACUGGUGAGUAACACGUAUGCGACCUGCCCCCUACAGGGGUAUAACCCGUAGAAAUGCGGACUAAUCCCCCAUAGUCCUGGAGGCUGCAUGGCUUUCAGGGGAAAGGCCAGCCGGUAGGGGAUGGGCAUGCGGCGCAUUAGCUAGUUGGCGGGGCAACGGCCCACCAAGGCGACGAUGCGUAGGGGUUCUGAGAGGAAGGUCCCCCCACACUGGUACUGAGACACGGACCAGACUCCUACGGGAGGCAGCAGUGAGGAAUAUUGGUCAAUGGGCGCAGGCCUGAACCAGCCAAGUCGCGUGAGGGAAGACGGUCCUACGGAUUGUAAACCUCUUUUUGUCGGGGAGUAACGUGCGGGACGGGUCCCGUAUUGAGAGUACCCGAAGAAAAAGCAUCGGCUAACUCCGUG
rnacentral:rRNA from 1 species